GGAAGAUGUGGAUGUGGUCUUUCCCACUUGAUAAAGAGAAAGGCAUCACUCUUGAAGACUUCAAGCUCAUAAAGAUGCAUAUGGCCAGCUGAACAGGAUCCCAAUGUCAAGAAUCCCUAAAUGAGGAAUUUUGAGUACAUUCCGUUCAGCUCAGGCAGGAGGUCAUGCCCUGACAUGGUUUUUGGGCUGCAAGUUGGUCCAAUUAAUUCUGGCUCGUUUGGUUCAGGGUUUUGAUAUGAGCAGGGUUGGUGAGGAGG